UUUCCCCCCUCGUCGCUUCACAGAGCCGCCAGCAGGUGUCGCUGUCAGUUUGCGACUCACAAGUUUAAUGAUUCUGUGACAGUGGGACUAAUUUUGGACUUUAGCGCUAGUCAUUGUUUGAUAUUUGUCCAAAAUACCUCUGCUCAUGCAACUGAAAAAGACUGUGCCUGUGCGGACAUGCAGAGGUACCGGUGGCCAGGUUAUGAGGUGCAGCUUCUUAGAGAGCUGCAGAAACAACAAAACAGCGCCCAGUUCUGUGAUACCCUGCUGCAAACUGAGGGUAUCUCAGUCCCAACCCACAGUUGCAUCCUCGCGGCUCUCAGUCCCUACCUGUCUCAGAAGCUGUCAGCCUCUCCAUCUCCACCAUCGGGCCAGAAGCGCCGCGUCCAGCUCCAGGCUGUGAAGGCCCAGACCCUGCUGAAGCUCGUCGGUCUUCUUUACUCUGGGGAGCUGGAGGUAAAAGGAAGCGUAGAGCAGAAUGACGUGCUGUCUGCAGCUCGCCACUUUGGGAUCACAGACCUUCUUGAGGGACAGAAAGAUGGGGGGAUGAAGGAGCGAGACCUCCAGAUAAAAUGUUUUGGGAGUAGCAGAGAGAGGAAUGAAAGCAGGAAAAUGCAGGACGCGCAAGUUCAGGCCGAGAUGGCUGGAAGGAGAGCUACAGAUGCUCCGAUUGAAAAGAGAACGUGUGUGUCCACAGGCACACAGACUGUUAAAGCAGGUGAAAAGACAGUGGGCUUUACUCACUGUGACCAAACUAAACCUCCAACCCCAGAGCCUGCGUCCUCUGUGGCUCAAAGUUUGGAUUGUUUUAUCUCACUGCCACCCCAAAAUAUCACACCCGAGAAACAUUUGUGCUCCACUUCUUUCCCACCUAUUCCCAGCAUGCCCAGUGGAGCACCAAGCGAUGGAGAGUCAACAUUAGACCGAUCGUCUGACAGUAUAACAAAUCCCAGCUCAACUUCACCUUUGUCCAGCAGCGGGAAGACCUUCCCCCUUCCCGUUAAUGAUGACUUAGACCCCCUGACACAUCAGGAAGACGGCACCUACCAGCAGUCAUUGGAGUUUGGGAACCACGUGCGGGUGUUGGCUGAGGAAGGGACAGGGCUGGAGGAUGCAAAAACGGCUGACUAUAGAGAAAAUAGAGAGCAGCCAAGCUGCCGUGCCAGCAGAGAUGACGUUCUAGAGGAGGAAAGAGGAAACUCUACAGAGAAAAGGCGCGUGCAUGCAAAUAUAGGGAUGAAGAGCCUGGCUAAGAUGAAACAGAUGCAGCACAUGAUGGAGACCACACAGAUUUCUAUCAAAGUGAAGCUGAGGAGGAGGAGGACUAAAGGAGAAGUGUGGGAGGUUGUGAGCGUGAAAGACACAGAUGAGACGUUGUCAGUUCUUACCUCGCGGAAGCAGGAUGGCUCCAACCACAAAAGGCCACAGACAGACCUUACAAAUGGUGAGCCGCCUCCUUCCUCCAUCCAGCCAGGCCCAGUUCAUAAGCAGAUUCUUCAACCUGCUACCACCAGCUCCCCAGAACCAGCCCCUCACCCCAACACCACCUCUGACUCCCAGCCUCUCUCCAGUGACUGCUUCACCCCAAACCAAAACGAUGGCCUCGAGUCAGUCCCACUCCCUCAGCCCCCAGCCCCUGUAGAGGAGUCUGACGAGCAGAUAGAGAAGCUGUUGGAGGAUAUCAUGAUGGGCCUCAACAUCCUGCCAAACUUGGACCGGGACUGCAAGAAAUCUGCUCACCUUCAGCCGAGCCACGCCGGAGCACCAACUGUUUGCCAGGUCCCAGUUGCGGAGAAUUACCGGGCGCAGAGUCGGAUGCAUGCUGCCGUCAGUGCAGCAGGGUGUGUGUAUUACCAGGAUUUUGGGACACAAAUUCAUCACUCAUUAUCAGAUACAGCUCGGAACCAGCCCAGCUGCUCAAGCCUUUCUUCUCUACGGCCUCAUCGCUCUCCGCAGUAUCACACAACUGUGCCCCCCAUGGGGCAAAGAGAUGGAACGAGCCACCUGGGCAUGCCUCUGUCUGAAAGUCAAACUUGUCCAUACCCUGAGGCUCCCACUACAAGAUCAGACAUACCUGCAGCUUGCUACUCCAGUGGGCAGAAACUAUAUUACCCAGCAUGCCAGGAACUGUCUUCACAAGACCCUCCGAACAGCCUAGAGUUUUUACCCCUGACGAAUGGAAAUGAGGAACAGUCCCCGCAUUCUUUUUCUUUACCUUGCAUAGGUGAUCUGCGGCUUCCUCGAUGUCUCUCUCCAUUAGAGCCAUCAGCCUCAGCAGCCAAACAUCAGCCUGUCCUCAGCAACUCAGUGAACCAUAACAGUAAAAUCCAGCCAUCUCUACAUGGGCGACCUUGGCUCACAGAAAUCCCCGGAUCACUACAAUUUCCUCUCAGUGCCAUCACUAACAGAGAAAAUAAACAUACGUCUGUACCACAGGAUACAAACUGCAGCUGUUGGUCGAAGCAAGGUCAGAAAUGUCAGGAGUUGAACCCACAAAAUACCCAGGCAGAUGAGGGAAGAACCAUAUCUGCUUGUAAUCAAAAUGUGGCAGAACUGAAACCUAACUCCAGGAAGGUGAAGGGAAGUUCAAAAUGUGAACAUGGUAGUGCCGCAGCGCCUAAAAAGAAAAAGAGAACAUGUACAAGUCGUCCACAAGAUGCUGCCAGUUCUCUUUCGGCAUGCAAAGAUAUGAAGGUCGGUGAUGGUCAAAUCAACCUGAGCGUUUGUUCAGUCAGUUUGUCGAGCAACAAUGUGCUGGCCAAGGAAAGGGAAAUGGCCACUGGUUCUUCAGCCAUGCCAAGCAAACUUGUAGGGAAACCCAGUGAACCGCAAACCAUCAGAGAACGUCGGAGAAGGAAGACCAGAGGGCCUGGCGAUCUCGGUUCUGACCAGCCUCGGAUCAGGACCAGAGGCUUUUUGAAAAAAAGUCAAGGGACACCGAGUAACACGGGCCCACAAGGUUCUUCAGUUUUAAAGCCCAUGGUCUGUACAGCUGAGAUUGUGUAUAAGCAGGAGGUCACACACUGCAGGCGGAGGCGUGGAAGGCCGCGGAAAAUUCAGCUUGCAAAAAGCCCUUCAGACAGCUCUCCUGCUAUCAUUGAAAAGAUGAGCAACAGUGUGGAAAGUGAGCAGCAAAUUGACAACAAUUUGCUAAAAGAGGAGGAGGCUGAAAAAACAAAGAGGAGGUCUAGAAAACGGAAGAGGAAUAGAAGUGAAGUGGAGGUCAUUCCACAGAAGACCAUAAUUGUUGAAAGCACUUGCGAGGCCAAGGCAGACAAUAAUGGUGAGAUAAUCUCAGCAGAGAGGAAACUCAAACGGCCACGGCUGGUCACACUGAAGGAGUUUCAGAAGCUUAUCAAAUGCCAGAACUCAAAAACAAGGAAGGCAAAAGAAAGCCAGGACAAGGAAACAGAAGAAACUGCAAGAGAUUUAGAGGAAUUAACUAAGGAGACAGAAAUAAACCUUACUCGGCCUCGGAACAGGGACGGGAUUGAAGAGUCUCACGCCAUAUUUAAUGUGACGGUUGACAAAAAUCACAAUCAGAUUUUCACCAAAUCACCAGCUGAGUACGGCAAAUCACAGCGAGAUGACACAAACGGCUCUACGAGUAAGGAGAACAGUUUGUGUGGUGGUCAGUACCAUCCGGUGUUUUCCUUUGAUGUGUUGGGAGAAGAGGGGGCCAAGGUAGCAGGUGACAGGGACCAUCCAUUGAAGAACCCUGAAGAAGAGCCACCAGACUCCAUUGAUUAAAAACUGCAAUUUUCCCUUAUAGUACAAAGGAGUUGCUGGUCUACUACUUCCUUGGGUAGGUUAGUUAGUUUGCUAAAAAACAUGUACAUAAUCAAACAUAAGUACAGGUACAAAAGUAUUAUCGACAGUAAUUUAGUGGUUCUGCAGUGACGUGUCCCCUGUGACUGAUAUAUUUAUUUAUUACAUGAAUUGAUUCUUGAUACUGAUUCACCGAUGUGUAAGCAGCAUUUUACUGUUGCUGCUGCUCGAGGUGGAGCUAGUUUUAACCACCUUAUACUAUAUCUGUUUAGCUAGAAAAAGUACUUUUUAAGAUUUUUUGGUGAAACUUUGAAUAAGUUUAACCAUUUGGUCUAAAAACAUUCAUUUAAAUUAAACAUUCAGAUCUUUAGAGGGGAACUGUCUCUUUGGUGGAACUGCUAACGUCUCAUAGGCAUCUGGAGCAUGACAAGCAGCCUGAACCACACACUGGUUUGUUGUAAGGGGUCACACGCCAAAAAGGCUGAUAGUCACUGGUUUAAUCAUUGCAUCCGAUUUUAAAACCUUACCACAUGUUUUAUAUACAAUGUUAAUCUGAGAAGUAACUUGUAACUCCAGUUCUCAAAUAAAUUUAGUGGUCCUAUAUUUCCUUCUGAAAUGUAGUGUACAAGUAUAAAGUAGCAUAAAAUAGUAAUUUAUAGUAAAUUAACAGUACCUCAGAACUUAACAGUGCUUGAGUAAAUGUACUGUUAUUUUCUACUAUUGCCUUGAUACACUUUUUGUUUAUUUGCUGAGGCUUUCAGAUAUCUGCCACUCCAGUACAGUUCAGCACCAGAGGCCUGUGAUGCAGGAGUGUCGGAUACAGUGACAUACACCGGCGAUAGCAGUCGGCUGUGUUGUGACACCGAGCUCCCUCAAGAAGACCAAAGGCCUUCAGACCCCAACUUGGACCCCCAGACUCCU